rnacentral:rRNA from 1 species
UACGAAGGGUGCAAGCGUUACUCGGAAUUACUGGGCGUAAAGCGUGCGUAGGUGGUUCGUUAAGUCUGAUGUGAAAGCCCUGGGCUCAACCUGGGAAUGGCAUUGGAUACUGGCGACCUAGAGUGCGGUAGAGGGGUGUGGAAUUCCUGGUGGAGCGGUGAAAUGCGUAGAUAUCAGGAGGAACGCCGGCGGCGAAAGCGACUCUCUGGCCUGUAACUGACGCUGAGGCGCGACAGCGUGGGGAGCAAACAGG